AUAUCUCGCGCGCCUGGGAGCAUUGCCGGCUAGGUGCAGGGCUGUGCGCAUCGGAUGAAGAACUGGAGCCGCCAUUGUUGGAAAACGGAGCUUGACUGCGCCGUCGGUGGUCUCGCCUCCGGCCUUCCGCCCCUGUCGCGCGUCGACCGCUUCCUGGACAACCGCAUCAUGGGUUGCAUGUGCUCAUCGGAAGCGUCGUGGCUGGACAAACUGUCGCAAAUCGGACGGAUCGAGAUGAAUCUGAGUAUUUAGAAUCUGGGCGGUCGCAUCUGGAUCCUACGGCUGGAUUGACACUGGGUACCUGGCGUGAUCCGCAGUCGUCCAAUCCUAAUCCGAUGGAUGGGGUCACCCGAUACCCCUUCGCGGAUACAUUUUGUUAAAGAGCCCUGGAAAAUCUGUUAAUAAACCCGCCGUCCUUGCGGGAGUAGCCUGAGUCUGGUAGGGUUUUGCAAAUUUAAUCCUGGGCUCUCUGAUAUUAGUGUCCUCGGUCCAGAGUACUUUGGAUAUUCAGAAAUUAAUAAAGAAAUAGAUUUUUAGUAUAAAAAUAAGUCCAUAAACUU